rnacentral:rRNA from 1 species
GCCUACGGGAGGCAGCAGUAGGGAAUCUUCCACAAUGGGCGAAAGCCUGAUGGAGCAACGCCGCGUGGGUGAAGAAGGUCUUCGGAUCGUAAAACCCUGUUGUUAGAGAAGAAAGUGCGUGAGAGUAACUGUUCACGUUUCGACGGUAUCUAACCAGAAAGCCACGGCUAACUACGUGCCAGCAGCCGCGGUAAUGCGUAGGUGGCAAGCGUUAUCCGGAUUUAUGGGGCGUAAAGGGAACGCAGGCGGCCUUUUAAGUCUGAUGUGAAAGCCUUCGGCUUAACCGGAGUAGUGCAUUGGAAACU